GAUGAACGCUCGCGGCAGGCCUAACACAUGCAAGUCGAGGGAGAGGUUACCUUCGGGUACCCAAAACCGGCGCACGGGUGCGUAACGCGUAUACAAUCUGCCUUUCACAUAGGGAUAGCCCGAAGAAAUUUGGAUUAAUACCUAAUGGUAUAUAAAAGCGGCAUCGUUUUUAUAUUAAAGCUACGGUAGUGAAAGAUGAGUAUGCGUUCUAUUAGCUAGUUGGAGAGGUAACGGCUCCCCAAGGCGACGAUAGAUAGGGGUUCUGAGAGGGAUGUCCCCCACACUGGUACUGAGAUACGGACCAGACUCCUACGGGAGGCAGCAGUGAGGAAUAUUGGACAAUGGUCGGAAGACUGAUCCAGCCAUGCCGCGUGCAGGAUGAAGGUACUAUGGAUUGUAAACUGCUUUUGUAAGGGAAGAAUAAGAGCUACGGGUAGUUUGAUGACGGUACCUUACGAAUAAGCAUCGGCUAACUCCGUG
rnacentral:rRNA from 1 species